rnacentral:rRNA from 1 species
UACAAAAUGACUCUCGGCAACGGAUAUCUCGGCUCUUGCAUCGAUGAAGAACGUAGCGAAAUGCGAUACUUGGUGUGAAUUGCAGAAUCCAGUGAACCAUCGAGUCUUUGAACGCAAGUUGCGCCCGAAGCCAUUAGGUUGAGGGCACGCCUGCCUGGGUGUCACA